AGAGUUUGAUCCUGGCUCAGGAUGAACGUUGGCGGCAUGCUUAACACAUGCAAGUCGAACGCAGGCUUCGGCCUGAGUGGCGAACGGGUGCGUAACACGUAGGUGACCUGGCCUGGAGUGGGGGAUAACCCUCGGAAACGGGGGCUAAUACCGCAUGGUCUGGAGGCGUUUUGAAAGCCUUCAGUAAAGCUUUAAGUGCUCUAGGGGGGGCCUGCGGCCUAUCAGGUAGUUGGUGGGGUAAAAGCCUACCAAGCCGAUGACGGGUAGCUGACCUGAGAGGGUGGUCAGCCACAGGGGAACUGAGACACGGUCCCCACUCCUACGGGAGGCAGCAGUGAGGAAUAUUGGGCAAUGGGGGCAACCCUGACCCAGCAAUGCCGCGUGCGGGAGGACGCCCUUCGGGGUGUAAACCGCUUUUGUGAGGGAGGAGCAAGGACCGUACCUCACGAAGAAGUCACGGCUAACUACGUGCCAGCAGCCGCGGUAAUACGUAGGUGGCGAACGUUAUCCGGAGUUACUGGGCGUAAAGGGUCCGCAGGCGGGUCUGCAAGUCUGACGUGAAAUCUUCUGGCUUAACUAGAAGAGGUCGUUGGAAACUGCAGGUCUAGCAUCCCGCAGAGGUCGGUGGAAUUCCCGGUGUAGUGGUGGAAUGCGUAGAGAUCGGGAGGAACCUCGAAAGCGAAGGCAGCCGGCUGGGCGCGGAUGGACGCUGAGGGACGAAAGCGUGGGGAGCGAACAGGAUUAGAUACCCCGGUAGUCC
rnacentral:rRNA from 1 species